AUCCGGCUGACGAGUCCAAAAUAGGACGAAAUGCGCGUCAAACUGGAU
rfam:Schistosoma rodhaini strain Burundi genome assembly, scaffold: SROB_scaffold0000089